rnacentral:rRNA from 1 species
AGCAGCCGCGGUAAUUCCAGCUCCAAUAGCGUAUAUUAAAGUUGUUGCAGUUAAAAAGCUCGUAGUUGAAUUUCGGGGUUAGUAGGUUGGUCAUGCCUCUGGUAUGUACUGGUCUCACUGAUUCCUCCUUCCUGAUGAGCCGUAAUGCCAUUAAUUUGGUGUUGCGGGGAAUUUGGACUGUUACUUUGAAAAAAUUAGAGUGUUUAAAGCAAGCUAACGCUUGAAUACAUUAGCAUGGAAUAAUGAAAUAGGACGUUCGAUCCUAUUUUGUUGGUUUCUAGGAUUGACGUAAUGAUUAAUAGGGAUAGUUGGGGGCAUUAGUAUUCAAUUGUCAGAGGUGAAAUUCUUGGAUUUAUUGAAGACUAACUACUGCGAAAGCAUUUGCCAAGGAUGUUUUCAUUAAUCAAGAACGAAAGUUAGGGGAUCGAAGACGAUCAGAUACCGUCGUAGUCUUAACCAUAAACUAUGCCGACUAGGGGAUCGGAUGAUGUUAAUUUUUUAAUGACUCA